UGGGAUCAGAUUGGCUCGAGAAGAGCACCGGCUAACUCCGUGCCAGCAGCCGCGGUAAUACGGAGGGUGCGAGCGUUAAUCGGAAUUACUGGGCGUAAAGCGUACGCAGGCGGUUUGUUAAGCGAGAUGUGAAAGCCCCGGGCUCAACCUGGGAACUGCAUUUCGAACUGGCAAACUAGAGUGUGAUAGAGGGUGGUAGAAUUUCAGGUGUAGCGGUGAAAUGCGUAGAGAUCUGAAGGAAUACCGAUGGCGAAGGCAGCCACCUGGGUCAACACUGACGCUCAUGUACGAAAGCGUGGGGAGCAAACGGGAUUAGAUACCCCGGUAGUCCACGCCGUAAACGAUGUCUACUAGAAGCUCGGAGCCUCGGUUCUGUUUUUCAAAGCUAACGCAUUAAGUAGACCGCCUGGGGAGUACGGCCGCAAGGUUAAAACUCAAAUGAAUUGACGGGGGCCCGCACAAGCGGUGGAGCAUGUGGUUUAAUUCGAUGCAACGCGAAGAACCUUACCUACACUUGACAUACAGAGAACUUACCAGAGAUGGUUUGGUGCCUUCGGGAACUCUGAUACAGGUGCUGCAUGGCUGUCGUCAGCUCGUGUUGUGAGAUGUUGGGUUAAGUCCCGCAACGAGCGCAACCCCUAUCCUUAGUUGCUAGCAGGUAAUGCUGAGAACUCUAAGGAGACUGCCGGUGAUAAACCGGAGGAAGGUGGGGACGACGUCAAGUCAUCAUGGGCCUUACGUGUAGGGCUACACACGUGCUACAAUGGCGCAUACAGAGUGCUGCGAACCUGCGAAGGUAAGCGAAUCCCUUAAGUGCGUCGUAGUCCGGAAUGGAGUCUGCAACUCGACUCCAUGAAAUCGGAAUCCCCUAGUAAUCCCCGUAUCAAAAAAGAACCGGGGGAAUAACGUUCCCCGGGCCUUUGUUCACCCCCCCCGGGUCCAACCAGUGGGGAGGUGCGUUGGCUCCCCAAAAAUAAAAUAGGUCUCAACCCCCCCGGAGAGGGCCGUUUUUACCCCCCG
rnacentral:rRNA from 1 species